rnacentral:tRNA from 1 species
GGGCGCACAGUCUUCAAAACUGUUUGAGACCUGCGUGCCAGGUCUGGUGGGUUCGAUUCCCACGCAGUCCCGCCA